rnacentral:lncRNA from 1 species
UAAUAGUUUUUUAACUUUAAUUUUUAAGGUCCAUGUUGGCAGUACGUAGUGAUGACCUUCAUCUUGGGGAGUUGGUGCCUAUGCGUAACACACCUUAGUCCAUUCACAGUUUUUAAAUAGCAGCCUAGCAAUUACUCGUCAAGGACUUGAAACAUGCUGAGUGCGUGUGGAGCCAUGUGGAACCUAUGCAGGAGAUUCCUGGUUUUGAUUUUAUAUUGGAUUAUUUGCCAACAAACUCAAACCAAUCACGUGCUUGAGUGCCCUGACUACUUCCUGCUGGAGGACAACGUCUCAGCUUCCUCUGAGUCCUGUGACUUUGUUGAAGCUAGAAACACAGUAAGCGAGGCAGGUGGAGGUAAGAGCCACCCUCUGCUUCGGAAGAUGUCAGCUUCAGCCACCAGUACGCUCAGAUUCCCAGCACUGGAGGAGGAACAGUGCCAGGUCUGUGUCGCAUGAACUCUAUAAAACGCUCCCUGAGCAGUGAAGAGGAUAUAGACACGUGACACCUUUGGGCAGCCCAGAAAUUAGAGCUGGCUUCGCUGUACCCACCCCAUGACCUGCUGCAGGAAACAAAAGGAAGGGCGUUGGGUGGCCCUCCAAGUGCUUCUGCGUAUCUUCUGCUGGGCAUGAAAUGUGUGCCUCCUGAAGCCCAGAGAAGCCAUCCCCAGAUGCCAGGGGAAUUUCCAACACAGGCAGGCGGGAAACAAGAUCCUCCUCGCUGGUCACACACCCUCCGUGCUGCCCUGGAUCCAAGGAAGGUUCUUACUUAGCAAAGUCUGCUCUCAAGUUUCACUGCAGCACUAGUGGAGUGGAGUUCGCAGCUGCCGGGCAGCAGGUCCAGGGGCUCUGCAUCUGCAGCUGGGAAGCAGCUGCCCCAGACCAGACUGCCUGGGAGCCCGAACACGCACAUCUGCCCUGAGCCCCAUCUCCUUCUGGCUAGAGGGCUCUGCUUCGUUUAAUUUUUAUUUUUAUGAGUACGUCACAUUCACGGUGGGGAGCUGGUACAUGUACGAGACAUAUCUUCAUUCUUUUGUAAAUCCCCUCCCCCUCUUCUCUUCCACCUCGCUCCAUCUCUUAGCUCCAUUCUCUUUUGCAGAAGAUCCAUCCCUGUUUCCUAUGAUCUAUCGUUUAUUUGGCUCUUAAUUUAUUUGUACUUUGGAUUUCUCAUAGAAGAGAAACUGUGUGAUACUGAAGCUCGUGUGUCUGAUUUAUCUCACUUAACAUUAUGAUCUCAAAGUGCACCCAUUUUCC